AAGGAUUUAAGUUAUUUAAACUCUCAACCUUCAAAGUUGAAAAUAGAAGAUUUUUCUAAGCCUUA
rnacentral:tRNA from 2 species